rnacentral:misc_RNA from 1 species
UUUCCGUAGGUGAACCUGCGGAAGGAUCAUCAACAACAAAUCUAAUUUAUACUAGCUUCGGCUAGUAUAAAUAUACCAAUGUGAAUUGGGAAUGGGUAACCAUUCUCUAAUGAUUUCUGACUACUUUUAUCUAUUAGAUAUCUGUGGGAUGAAAUAUUAACGAGUUUUUUAAGAGUCAUAUAAAAAAAUUAAAUUAUAAACAACUUUUAACAAUGGAUCUCUUGGCUCUU